GUACACUCCUGCGGGAGGCAGCAGUAGGGAAUCUUCCACAAUGGGUGCAAACCUGAUGGAGCAAUGCCGCGUGAGUGAAGAAGGUCUUCAGAUCGUAAAGCUCUGUUGUUAGAGAAGAACACGUGCUAGGUAACUACUAGCGCCUUGACGGUAUCUAACCAGAAAGUCACGGCUAACUACGUGCCAGCAGCCGCGGUAAUACGUAGGUGACAAGCGUUGUCCGGAUUUAUUGGGCGUAAAGGGAGCGCAGGCGGUCUGUUUAGUCUAAUGUGAAAGCCCACGGCUUAACCGUGGAACGGCAUUGGAAACUGACAGACUUGAAUGUAGAAGAGGAAAAUGGAAUUCCAAGUGUAGCGGUGGAAUGCGUAGAUAUUUGGAGGAACACCAGUGGCGAAGGCGAUUUUCUGGUCUAACAUUGACGCUGAGGCUCGAAAGCGUGGGGAGCGAACAGGAUUAGAAACCCCAGUAGUCC
rnacentral:rRNA from 1 species